GAUGAACGCUAGCGGCAGGCUUAAUACAUGCAAGUCGUACGGGAUCCGAAGUAGCAAUACUUUGGUGAGAGUGGCGCACGGGUGCGUAACACGUAUGCAACCUACCUUUAACCGGGACACAACCUCGAGAAAUUGUGGCUAAUAUCCCAUAACACUGCGAAGUGGCAUCACUUUGCAGUUAAAACUCCGGUGGUUAUUGAUGGGCAUGCGCGACAUUAGCUAGUUGGUGAGGUAACGGCCCACCAAGGCUACGAUGUCUAGGGGUUCUGAGAGGAUUAUCCCCCACACUGGUACUGAGACACGGACCAGACUCCUACGGGAGGCAGCAGUAAGGAAUAUUGGUCAAUGGGCGCAAGCCUGAACCAGCCAUGCCGCGUGAAGGAUGACGGCCCUAUGGGUUGUAAACUUCUUUUGUACGGGAAAAAACCACCGGUCGUGUAUCGGUGCUGAUGGUACCGUAAGAAUAAGCAUCGGCUAACUCCGUGCCAGCAGCCGCGGUAAUACGGAGGAUGCAAGCGUUAUCCGGAUUCAUUGGGUUUAAAGGGUGCGCAGGCGGAGUGAUAAGUCAGUGGUGAAAGCCUACAGCUUAACUGUAGAACUGCCAUUGAUACUGUCAUUCUUGAGUAUUGUUGAGGUAGGCGGAAUGUGUCAUGUAGCGGUGAAAUGCUUAGAUAUGACACAGAACACCGAUCGCGAAGGCAGCUUACCAAGCAAUAACUGACGCUCAUGCACGAAAGCGUGGGGAUCAAACAGGAUUAGAUACCCUGGUAGUCCACGCCGUAAACGAUGAUCACUCGAUGUUGGCGAUACACAGUCAGCGUCUUAGGGAAACUAUUAAGUGAUCCACCUGGGGAGUACGGC
rnacentral:rRNA from 1 species